AGCCCCCCUCAAGAUGAGAUAUCCCAAUCAAUAAGACCCCUUGAAGACUACGAGGUAGAUAGGGCCAAGGUGUAAGUGCAGUAAUGCAUUCAGCUGAUGGUUACUAAUAGGUCGAAAGCUUAUCCAG
rnacentral:rRNA from 1 species